GACGAACGCUGGCGGCGUGCCUAACACAUGCAAGUCGAACGAAGAAUUGGAAGCUUGCUUUUGAUUCUUAGUGGCGGACGGGUGAGUAACGCGUGAGAAACCUGCCUUUCAGAGGGGGAUAACGUUUGGAAACGAACGCUAAUACCGCAUAACGCAGCGAGGUCGCAUGACCAUGCUGCCAAAGGAGCAAUCCGCUGAAAGAUGGUCUCGCGUCCGAUUAGCUAGUUGGUGAGAUAACAGCCCACCAAGGCGACGAUCGGUAGCCGGACUGAGAGGUCGAACGGCCACAUUGGGACUGAGACACGGCCCAGACUCCUACGGGAGGCAGCAGUGGGGAAUAUUGCACAAUGGGCGAAAGCCUGAUGCAGCAACGCCGCGUGAGGGAAGACGGUCUUCGGAUUGUAAACCUCUGUCUUUGGUGAAGAAGAAAGUGACGGUAACCAAGGAGGAAGCCACGGCUAACUACGUG
rnacentral:rRNA from 1 species